GAACUUCACUGUCGGAUUCCUACUUCAAGCCCUGAAAGAAAGGAAGCCUGUUUGGUGAUCAUCAAAGAAUAGUUCGACUUUGAGCUGUCGAAGUUUGCGUCCUGAAUUGCACACCUGGAGUCUACCUCCUUUACUCAAUUAAGAAUUUGAUGGGAACCAAGCCUGCCAACAGAGGAUCCUGAAAGCUGAACUAGAUAUAAUUACAUUAUACCGCAAUUUUCUGUAAGAAAAUUGAUCAUCAGAAGAGAAAUCCCUAGAGCAAGCGAAAGAACUUAGAGAUCAAUUACCAAUGGUCUGAAGCCAAGUCCCUACUACUACAACCUAGUACGCUACAUGUGCUGAUGAAGACUAUGGAAUGUUCAAAAAGCGAUUAAUGUCAAAGCAAUCUCUGUGUGAAAAAGAAGAUCCUCUUGGUAAGUUUAUUUCUUGAAU